GGUGUUGUAGCUCAGUGGUAGAGCACUUGCCUAGCAUGUGUGAGGUACUGGGUUCGAAUCUCAGCACUA
rnacentral:tRNA from 1 species